rnacentral:rRNA from 1 species
GAUGAACGCUGGCGGCGUGCCUAAUACAUGCAAGUCGAGUGAACAGACGAGGAGCUUGCUCCUCUGACGUUAGCGGCGGACGGGUGAGUAACACGUGGAUAACCUACCUAUAAGACUGGGAUAACUUCGGGAAACCGGAGCUAAUACCGGAUAAUAUAUUGAACCGCAUGGUUCAAUAGUGAAAGACGGUUUUGCUGUCACUUAUAGAUGGAUCCGCGCCGCAUUAGCUAGUUGGUAAGGUAACGGCUUACCAAGGCAACGAUGCGUAGCCGACCUGAGAGGGUGAUUGGCCACACUGGAACUGAGACACGGUCCAGACUCCUACGGGAGGCAGCAGUAGGGAAUCUUCCGCAAUGGGCGAAAGCCUGACGGAGCAACGCCGCGUGAGUGAUGAAGGUCUUCGGAUCGUAAAACUCUGUUAUUAGGGAAGAACAAAUGUGUAAGUAACUAUGCACGUCUUGACGGUACCUAAUCAGAAAGCCACGGCUAACUACGUG